rnacentral:rRNA from 1 species
CCUACGGGGUGCAGCAGUAGGGAAUAUUGCUCAAUGGGGGAAACCCUGAAGCAGCAACGCCGCGUGGAGGAUGAAGGUUCUCGGAUUGUAAACUCCUUUUGUCAGAGAAGAUAAUGACGGUAUCUAACGAAUACGCCCCGGCUAACUCCGUGCCAGCAGCCGCGGUAAUACGGAGGGGGCAAGCAUUACCCGGAAUUACUGGGCGUAAAGAGCGCGUAGGCGGGUGAGCAAGUCAGAUGUGAAAUCCUAUGGCUUAACCAUAGAACUGCUUUUGAAACUGUUGUGCUAGAGUGUGGGAGGGGUAGGUGGAAUUCUUGGUGUAGGGGUGAAAUCCGUAGAGAUGAGGAGGAAUACUGAUUGCGAAGGCGACCUGCUGGAACGUAACUGACGCUGAUGCGCGAAAGCGUGGGGAGCAAACAGGAUUAGAUACCCCAGUAGUC